CCCUUAGAUGCCCUGGGCCGCACGCGUGCUACACUGACGCAUACAGCGAGCACUUUCCAGUUCCGAGAGGCUACUGGUAAUCAUCAAUAUGCGUCGUGAUGGGGAUAGAUCUUUGGAAUUCUGGAUCUUGAACGAGGAAUGCCUAGUAAUCGCAGGUCAUUAGCCUGCGAUGAUUAAGUCCCUGCCCUUUGUACACACCGCCCGUCGCUACUACCGAUUUCGAGUGGUCAGGUGAAUCUUUCGGACUGUGGGCGCCCUUGAGGUGUUCGCGGAAAGUCAGGUAAAUCUUAUCACUUAGAGGAAGUAAAAGUCGUAACA
rnacentral:rRNA from 1 species